UCAACCAAGACUCCCUAGCAAUUACUCUCUCAAAACCACCUAAUGUGAAUGGAUCUUCUGAAGGUGUCUCCCCUUGGAAGUCGAAUGGAAGUGUGGGAAGAAUGGAGGGUGCAGGGCCCUGGUGGGAAGGGAACGUGUGGAGGAGGCAGAGUCCUGGAGGGAAGGGCAGCCAGGGAGGGUGGGGAGCCCUGGAGGGAAGGGCAGCCAGGGAGGGUGGGGAGCUCUGAGCACAAAAUAAGAGGAGAUCUCCUCUUUGCCACUCAGGACCAUUUCUUCAAGAAUUCUCUUCUCCUUUAAGGAGCUCUAAAAUACAUUCUUUUCCUAAUGCAAAUACAUUUCUUGUCCAAAUGAAGGACAAAAGGUGGAAAGAAACCCAGUACUUUGCCUGCUGUAGUAGAAGCUGCAAGCGGUAGGGAAAAUAAACUGGUAGGGAAAAAAAGAGCAGAACAGGGCAAAAUCCAACCGGAUUUGCUAUCACGUGUGCUGGGCGAUUGGAAGAUUCCUCCCUCCAGUUUAUGGAUCCAGCUUUUAUUCCAAGGGUGGGAUCCUGCAAGCCAUUAAACCCGCUUUAGCAAACCACCGUUGCUGCCUUCCCAUUCACGUCAAGCUCUGCUCAGACAAUGGUUGGUCUUUCCAACCCGCAGGGCCCCAAAUUCCCCGCUCCCUCCAUCCCAGAUUAACCUGUCGUGAGAAUCCAGCCUCAACAUUUGUUUUCCAAGCACCCUCUGCCUUCCUUCUCCCCCUUCUGCCUUUCCUGUUAGUGGGUCGUUGGCCUGGGUUCAUUAAUCCUCGAGAUUGACUUUGAACCGAAGGGCAAAUAUUAAGCCAUUCAACUUUCUCUGCUCAGCCAUAAAUCACACCCUGCCUUGGCUUGGAAAACAGAGGCCAAAGGUUGCCCCUAUCUCCGAGCGAAGGAUCUUUGACACAGGACUUCGGACAUCCUUGCAACAUCAUUCGACUUUAUCUCAACUGGCUUUGAAGCAGACUUGUAAAAGGAGGCUGAGAUUACGAUACUCAGAUUAGGCUGCUAAGUACACGCUGUUCCGCUCAUCGCGCUGCACCAAGAACAAGGCGUCGCUUAUCAAGUGAAGAAGAGCAAACCAUACCCCGAUGAGCAGUGGCAUUUCGCUUUAAUCUUAUCUCUCUCCUUUUCCGGAGAAUAAACAGAGAGCGCUGACCCCCAUUUGGCAGCAGACUUCAGGAAAAGGCGUCUGAUGCUACUCUGACAGGUCUUCGCACCACCUUGCCAGGAAGCGAAGCUGUCGUGGUGGUUUUUAUCGAUCGCGUUCUCAUAGCUUCAGAAGCUUGGGGAGAGAAAAAAAAUAAAUGCGUUCUUAAGCGUGCCAGCGGCUGAAUCCAUCUUAGCAGCUUGGCAACUUUAAGAUGUGUGGACUCCAGUUCCCAGAAUUCCCCAACCAGCGUGCUUUAAGAUGUGCAGACGUCAACUCCGUUCCACCCAUCUUCUGACCCUCUGAGUCCCAGAAUUAGCUUCCUGUCUACUCUGGGAGCAGAGCAGAGACUGGUCCUGGAACGGGAAGUCCACCGGGCUAGAAGUCCUACAACCCAAAUUCCCCACCCGCUUGGAAACAUCCAGGAAUGCAGAGGAGGCCUCAAUCAUCUUGACCCACAUGAGAUUUGUCUUCCAGCCCUCCAACUUGCAAGAAAUCGAACCAGAAGCAGUACCCUCCUCUUUCUCCUAUUUGUGCGCCCAAGAGGGACCCCCUGCGCAUUUGCUGUGGGCCACCGUAAGUUGGCGAUGGGGCCAAGCACGAGGGGCUUCUUGUAGUUUCGAUUUGGGGCGAGUCUUAGCGAGGGCUCCUUUCUCUGUUUUACCUCCAUUUACAUGAACAUCUAGCAUGACAGCCUCCCUCUGUUUCCUGUCUCCAGAUGGGGGGAAAUGGUGCCCUUCAUUUUCAGCAACAGUCAGAGGUGCCCAGGCUGCACGUUGCCGACCCCCUCCCAUGGGGUGGCCCAUUGCUUCUCAUUUCAGCCUAGAUACAAUAUUCUCCUGGUGGACUAAAAUCCUAUUUCCCUCCUCUAACCCAAACUGGAAAUCUGGGAGUGUUGAAACUCCCAUUUAUUGUGCCAAAUCUUAACAUGCGGAAGGACUCUGUUUGGGUUCCCAGGGGCCCGAGAGCCUCUGGAUCUCGGAUCCUGUUUGCAGGGGCAACAGAAGCAAACCGGCCAGCAACAGAAACCACGGCUGGCAUUUGCCGAUGGCGCAGCAACACAAGGCCCCUCUCUCCAGCCCUCCUGCCACAAUUUCUCCUUCCAAAGCUCUUCUCGUGCACCCACGGUGAGCUGUGCCAGAUCAGAAGCCGGGGAAGAAAAACAUGAAGCAGGCAGCCGAUAAAGGCUUCAUCCGGGCCGGCAAGUCACACCUUCCCUCUUCUUGGGCGUCCCAAUUCAGCCGGAAGAGAGCCAAAGCAAUCCGGGCAAGGGACUUAGAGACUGCAGCCAGACGAUUUUAUUCAGCAGCUGUAACCAUUCUGCCUCCUCAGUCAGUGGGAGUCUUUCCUGGGGAAGGAGAUAAAACGAAGCACGCCCCUGCCACUUCGUUCCAAAUCAAGAAACACACGCAACCACGUUGCCCGAGCAGAAAUUGGUUUGAGAACUGCUCCUUUGGUUCAUUUCGAUUUGAGGAAGAGGCAAGUGUGCCAAACUCCACCGAGGAACCGGGGAGGUUGCAACUCCAGGAAAGGUCUCCCCCCACCAUAAGCCACCGUCACAGAUUUAAGCCGUGGUUGCUCCAACGUGCAAGGGUUCUGAAGUGCCAAAGUUAGGAUAAGCCAUCGUGCAACACCGCUGGAGGGGCAGGAAUCUAUCCGCAGUUUUUUCAGCAUAGGGUCAAGAAAAGGGAGGUGCCCUGCAACUCAGGUUGGCAAUUUCAUGCCCGUGGGCAUCCGAGCCGCCAAAGCACCAGCAGAGGGCAUCCGAGACCUGACCCCUCCCAAAUUGGAAAAAUUAAAGUAAAAAUAAAAUGGCCCAACCAUCAGGAGAUA